GCUGCUUUACUGAAGACCUCAGUAGUGUUCAUGGCAUGAGCAUCAUCCAACAUGAUUAGAUUUGUAUUUAAAAUCAUCUUCUUCCUGAGCUGGUUUACAGGUUUCCUGAUCUGUGAGAAGGUGCACCAGUCCCCUUCAGAUGUGCUGUGUGAACCCAAGAAGUCUGUAGAGCUGACCUGCAAACAUAACAUUAAUAACUAUGACACAAUUUUGUGGUAUAAGAGGUCCUAUGGAGAUUCUAGCCUGAAACUCAUCGGCUAUGCACGAUAUAGCAACUUAAAAGACUUUGAGGAAUCGUAUAAGGAUUAUUUCAGUUUAACUGGAAAUGGAGAAGAACAAGUUACUUUAAAGAUUCUUGAAGCAAGACCAGACGAGGACAGUGCAGAGUAUUUCUGUGCAGCGUCGUAUGCACAAUGCCACAAAAAUCCUCUCUUCCAUGACAAAAACUGCUCUCUUAUCUUCAUGCAUCAUGAUACACCUGCGUGAAACCACGUGCGCGAGUUCUAGAAAACAUCAUUCAACACAAUCAGCUA